GGUCAUAGCUCAGUUGGUAGAGAGCUUGCCUCACGUGUACAAGGACCUGGGUUUGAUCCCCGGCACCA
rnacentral:tRNA from 1 species